ACAGCAGCCGCGGUAAUACGGAGGGUGCAAACGUUGCUCGGAAUCAUUGGGCGUAAAGCGCACGUAGGCGGCGAAGCAAGUUGGGUGUGAAAGCCCUGGGCUCAACCCAGGAAGUGCAUUCAAAACUGCUUCGCUUGAAUCUCGGAGGGGGUCAGAGAAUUCCCGGUGUAGAGGUGAAAUUCGUAGAUAUCGGGAGGAAUACCAGUGGCGAAGGCGCUGACCUGGACGAAGAUUGACGCUGAGGUGCGAAAGCGCGGGGAGCAAACAGGAUUAGAUACCCUGGUAGUCCGCGCUGUAAACGAUGAGUGCUAGACGGUGGAGGUAUUGACCCCUUCGCUGCCGAAGCUAACGCGUUAAGCACUCCGCCUGGGGAGUACGGUCGCAAGACUAAAACUCAAAGGAAUUGACGGGGGCCCGCACAAGU
rnacentral:rRNA from 1 species